rnacentral:tRNA from 1 species
UUAAUUAAAGCCAAAAUAGAGGCAUUUUAUUGUUAAUAAAAUUAUUGAAUUUAUAUUCUAAUUAAU